rnacentral:rRNA from 1 species
UACAGAGGUCUCAAGCGUUGUUCGGAUUCAUUGGGCGUAAAGGGUGCGUAGGCGGCGCGGUAAGUCACCUGUGAAAUCUCCUGGCUCAACUGGGAGCUUGCAGGCGAAACUGCCGUGCUGGAGUGUGGGAGAGGUGCGUGGAAUUCCCGGUGUAGCGGUGAAAUUCGUAGAUAUCGUAAGGAAGACCAGUGGCGAAGGCGGGUCUCUGGACAGUUCCUGACGCUGGAGGCACGAAGGUCAGGGGAGCAAACGGGG